rnacentral:rRNA from 1 species
GAUGAACGCUGGCGGCGUGCCUAAUACAUGCAAGUCGAGCGAACGGACGAGAAGCUUGCUUCUCUGAUGUUAGCGGCGGACGGGUGAGUAACACGUGGAUAACCUACCUAUAAGACUGGGAUAACUUCGGGAAACCGGAGCUAAUACCGGAUAAUAUUUUGAACCGCAUGGUUCAAAAGUGAAAGACGGUCUUGCUGUCACUUAUAGAUGGAUCCGCGCUGCAUUAGCUAGUUGGUAAGGUAACGGCUUACCAAGGCAACGAUGCGUAGCCGACCUGAGAGGGUGAUCGGCCACAGUGGAACUGAGACACGGUCCAGACUCCUACGGGAGGCAGCAGUAGGGAAUCUUCCGCAAUGGGCGAAAGCCUGACGGAGCAACGCCGCGUGAGUGAUGAAGGUCUUCGGAUCGUAAAACUCUGUUAUUAGGGAAGAACAUAUGUGUAAGUAACUGUGCACAUCUUGACGGUACCUAAUCAGAAAGCCACGGCUAACUACGUG